rnacentral:lncRNA from 1 species
CCCAGAAGAAACAACUUGCAUGUUUGAAUUGGAGUAACUCCAUGACAAAUUAAUAAUCCUUACAGCCAAACAUUAUAUUUGCUGCCUUUCCUCUUCACAUCUUGUCUAUUCCCUUUCAUUACAGCUUCCAUCAAUGCAGUACCACAGACUUUGUUAAAACUCCCUGUAUGGAGAAGGUUCUUUCACAGCUGGAUACAUGUGCUGUACAUCCAAGUUGCUAUGAGAGCAUGAACACAGUGCUGGGAGGGAACUGUCACCUCUUCAAAGGUGCUCGGGGCAGGGAGCGAUGCACCAGCCUAGGUGAAGGGAGCAGGUGGAGGUGCGAGGUGGAUUUAGAUCUUACUCUGGAAGUACAAGGCAGGCUGAACCACUCUGCCAUCCCUCAUACGGUCCAUGCUCCAGCCCUAACCACUGCAAGGAUCUUCUCUGGUCACCAGAUAGAAUAUGCAUCUUCUUGCUUGUUCUUUAUGUGGCUUCACUGUAUUAUGGCUAAAUGGAGGUGACACCCUGGAAAGGGUGGGAAGAAAUGAAGAUCCACUGCUGGCUGCCAAGGGACAACAUUCCAUGCACUGCCAUGUUGUCAGUCAACUUUGGACAGAGGACAGCUGGUGACGCUGUGAGUUGAUAGGAGGCACGACUUUUAUACCAUGAAGUCCUCAGAAGCAAUUUUCUUUGUAAAGACGCUAAAAAUAUACUUUUUCAAAGGCUGAAAGAGUCCAAAGCCUUUAUGCGUCUUUCAGAGAUGCCUUCUCCAGGCCUCAAUUUCACAUGACUGUUCCAUUACCUAAGCAAAACAACACUUAAAAUGCUUUGGCCAUGGAGAAGGCAGCAUGUACAAGGAUGUUCAAGCAUGUUUUUGGUUUAUUAGUUCUACUACAGGCACUUGAGCAGAUGAAUGUAAGAGGAGAAACUUGCUUUAUAGCAAAGAAAGAGACCUACAGCAGUGACAAAUUAAUUUCCAUCCUGCCAUGACUCAUGACUCAGCGCUACAGUAAUAUUAACAAAACAUCAGUUAAAGUGGUAGUAAUUAUUUCCAUUGCUAAUGCUGACUCUGGCUUAACAACAUUUACUGACUUUGUUACACUGUCAUAAAAUAAACAGUAAUAUAGAAACA